rfam:Oryctolagus cuniculus chromosome 1, whole genome shotgun sequence.
UAUGUGGAGUUACUAGACUCCACAUAUACACUCAAAGAAGUUGAGU